rnacentral:tRNA from 1 species
GUUACUUUGGCAGAGUUAUGCAUUGGACUUAGGAUCUAAUCAUGCGAGUAUAAAUCUCGUAAGUAACA